UAGGCUACUUGCACAAGCACUUCCUGAUUCGCCGUAAUACAGCUCAUCAGCUUCCGGUUCCAAGAUGGCAACGUUCUACACCCGGUGAUUUACAGGAGCUGCCGACAAUAAAUAUCACAGAUGUGCAUCGUUUAUGUCGGGAAACAAAAACUCCGACAAGCAAAUUGGAGAAGAGGUUUAGGCUGUAUGCUUCGACCUACAUUCACAGCUACGAAGAUCAAGCUUUGUGAUUCAUCAGCCAAGGGAUGAAAAAAUAAAGAGUUAAUCUAUGGGCUGGAGCAGCUGUCUCUGAGAGGAAAAGAAAAAAAGUAUAGCUCAAAAACAACAAAUACAAAUGCAAUGGCAUCACGUAUAAUUACAUCUGUAACUACUUA